CCCUUAGAUGUUCUGGGCCGCACGCGCGCUACACUGAUAAUGUCAACAAGCUUUACCUUGGCCGAUAGGUCUGGGCAAUCUUCGAACUAUUAUCGUGAUGGGGCUAGAUUAUUGCAACUAUUAAUCUUAAACGAGGAAUUCCUAGUAAGCGCGAGUCAUCAGCUCGCGUUGAUUACGUCCCUGCCCUUUGUACACACCGCCCGUCGCUCCUACCGAUUGGAUUGGCUGGUGAAGCGUUCGGAUUGUGGGUUCGGAGCGGUUCGCCGUUCUGGGCUUGCGAGAAGUUCGUUAAACCCUCCUAUCUAGAGGAAGUAAAAGUCGUAACA
rnacentral:rRNA from 1 species